rnacentral:rRNA from 1 species
UACGUAGGGGGCUAGCGUUGUCCGGAAUCAUUGGGCGUAAAGCGCGCGUAGGCGGCCCGGUAAGUCCGCUCUGAAAGUCCAGGGCUCAACCCUGGAAUGCGGGUGGAUACUGCCGGGCUAGAAUCCGGAAGAGGCGAGUGGAAUUCCUGGUGUAGCGGUGGAAUGCGCAGAUAUCAGGAGGAACACCAAUAGCGAAGGCAGCUCGGUUGGACGGGAAUGACGCUAAGGCCCGAAAGCGUGGGGAGCAAACAGG